GAAUGAAAAGGACAGUGUGCUGUGCUGGAGCGUUCCCUCUCUGUUGUAGGUUGACUCGUUACAGGACAUCAGUCAGCCUGCGUAUGCACAGCUGCAGCAAUGGAGGGGCACGGACUGCGCCAAUGACAACAUUUCAGCUGUCACACAGAACACUCAGAGGCCCUGGGAGGCCAAACCCACACGUAUGCUCCUGCUGCAGGUGACAGAUGGCGUCCAGAGCUUGGAGGCCAUGGAGUAUCAGCCGAUACCUGCACUGAGCACUGCUCUUAGGCCUGGUGUGAAGCUGCAGCUGCAAGGGCAGAUGAUCUGCAGGCUUGGGAUGCUACUGUUGGGAACGGGCAACGUGAAGGUCCUGGGCGGGGAAGUGGAAGACCUGGCCGAAAGCAACAACCAGGUUAG